GAUGAACGCUGGCGGCGUGCCUAAUACAUGCAAGUCGAGCGAAUGGAUUAAGAGCUUGCUCUUAUGAAGUUAGCGGCGGACGGGUGAGUAACACGUGGGUAACCUGCCCAUAAGACUGGGAUAACUCCGGGAAACCGGGGCUAAUACCGGAUAACAUUUUGAACCGCAUGGUUCGAAAUUGAAAGGCGGCUUCGGCUGUCACUUAUGGAAUGACCCGCGUCGCAUUAGCUAGUUGGUGAGGUAACGGCUCACCAAGGCAACGAUGCGUAGCCGACCUGAGAGGGUGAUCGGCCACACUGGGACUGAGACACGGCCCAGACUCCUACGGGAGGCAGCAGUAGGGAAUCUUCCGCAAUGGACGAAGGUCUGACGGAGCAACGCCGCGUGAGCGAUGAAGGCCUUCGGGUCGUAAAGCUCUGUUGUCAGGGAAGAACAAGUAUCGGAGUAACUGCCGGUACCUUGACGGUACCUGACCAGAAAGCCACGGCUAACUACGUGCCAGCCGCCGCUGUAA
rnacentral:rRNA from 1 species